CAUUCAACACCCAGGGCUCAUCCCAACAAGUGCCCUCCUUAAUGCCCGUCACCCAUUUAACCCAUUCCCCCCACCCACCUCCUCCUACAGCAACCCUCAGUUUGUUCUCUGGAUUUAAGAGUCUCUUAUGGUUUGCCUCCCUCUCUGUUUUUUAUCUUAUUUUUCCUUCCCUUCCCUUAUGUUCAUUUGUUCUUUUUCUUAAAUUCCACAUGUGAGUGAAAUCAUAUGUUUAUCUUUCUCUGACUGACUUGUUUCACUUAGCAUAAUACAUUCUAGUUCCAUCCACAUUGUUGCAAAUGGCAAGAUUUCAUUCUUUUUCAUCACCAAGUAAUAUUUCAUUCUACACACACACACACACACACACACACCCCACAUCUUCUUUAUCCACUCAUCAGUCAAUGGGUAUUUGGGCUCUUUCCAUAAUUUGACUAUUGUUGAUAGCGCUGCUAUAAACAUUGGGGUACAUGUGCCCCUUUGAAUCAGCAUUUUUGUAUCCUUUGGAUAAGUACCUAGUAGUACAAUUGCUGGGUCCUAGGGUAGUUCUAUUUUUAGUUUUUCGAGGAACCUCCAUACCGUCUUCCAGAGCGGCUGAACCAGCUUGCAUUCCCACCAACAAUGCACAAGAGACCCUCUUUCUCCGCAUCCUCACCAACAUCUGUCGUUGCCUGAGUUGUUCAUGUCAGCCCUUCUGACAGGUGGGAGGUGGUAUCAUGGUGGUUUUGAUUUGCACUUCCCUGAUGAUGAGAGACGUUGAGUAUCUUUUCGUGUAAGACUUUGCUUCUUCGAAGUAACAAAGCGUCCUUUGAACACCAGCUUCAUGACACCCUCCUCAUCCUCAAUUUCCCCCACUGUGACUUGCCAAGAAUCGUUCUUUCCUUGUGGUAUCGUGAUAAGGUUUGGAAAUACCACCUGGAACUUUCUAGCAAAGGGGCUGGCAUAUAGCGCGUCCUCAAUAAAUAACUUUCUCCUUCUCUUCCUGCUGCUCUUCUCAGAACUUAGGAGCAGAGGGGCCCUAGAAACACAAGAGGUUGAUGUAAUGAUUACGGAUGAAUCACCAAAGCAAAGCUGCGGAAUACCUUGGCACAGAUUUUUACCAUAGGCUCAGCUAGAACAAGUUCCGCUCUACCUCGCCAGCGUCGGUGCUGAUUAUUGGGUUUUGACCGUGGGGAGGCGAGGGCGGGGCUCCCUGCUGUCUCCCAGUUUGCCAGCUGAACGGAUCUAAGGACGGACCCAAAAAGUCAAAGCCAGUGGUGCUGACCUCCCCCAGAUAAUCGGCACAGGUGCCUCAGCAGCAGCUGCACAUUCUGAGCUGCCCCCGGGACAUUGUGCAACAGACGAAUCGGAUUUAGGGUGCCUUCCCUUUCUUCCCCCACAUGCCUUUCUUUCCUCGCCCAUCAGAGUUACAGUCCCCCAUCUUUCUGCCUUUUUGUCCUCUGUGAAAACUUCACCUCAGGGAAAAAAUUGAUUACCAGCAACUUUAAGUCAACAGACAUUCGUGAAGUGCUCUCUCUCUCCCUAGACAGGAGUUUUCCUCCUUUAUUCACCACCGAGAAGGUGGUGCAAAUGUUUUGGAAGGCAGGGAUCUUCUGGGGUCCCUGAGAUCACCCCCCAGGGCACCUCUGCUCUUCCCUGUCUCCAGGCUGCUGGAGGCACGGUGCGUUUGCAAAGGCGUCCUCGGUAGCAGGUGGAGGUUUGUAAUCGUUGGGUACCAGCUACUGGAGUUCCUGAAAAAUGGCAGCAAACAUCCAUAAACAAACAUCAGAGAUGAAAUACAAAACGCUUGGCAUUUGGCGAUAUUUUUAAAACAGCGUUUACCAAUUUCUUGCCUCUUUGCCAAUUGUUAAAGUUGCCAAGUAUCUCUGUAAAAUUUGGCCUGGCCCCCACCUCUCAAAUUAUGACCUUGGCUCAAGGAAAACAUGAUGUGAAUUCAAGCAAGCCAAAUGUAUACUUGCGUUUGCCAAAAUAUCCUGAUUUUAUUCUACUCCUUUGUCAAACGCAUAAGGAAAGGGUGGCCUUAGGAUGUGGGAUAGAUGCCUGGCUUUGACAGCCGGGAGGCCAAAACAGGGGUGGCCAGCGUGGAACUCCCUUAGCCAGCAUUCUGGGCUCCCUCUUCCGCAGAAGGAGCUGUUAAUCAAUCUCAGCCUUUGUUCUCAUGGGGCAGGGACAAAGCCUCACAAUCCUUCCCAAUGCGACUGCUUGAGAGUGGGCGCUGAGCUGAAAAGUCUCAUUGGAGUUUAAUGUGGGCGCCCGGUGGGAAGGUCAGAGCCAUCUACCAGUUGUGAAGUCCUUUAAGCCACCUACCAACUGCAGGGUAGGUGUUUCAAAAGAGGCAACGGGUUGCCCCUAAAAUUCCUCCCAACUCCACUGUUGGCUGAUGCCUAAAGUUCUGUCACUAGACCAUCCAUCCCUAGAGUCCAUAGCUAUAAUGCCUACAGGGCAGACCCUGUGCUAAGUGCUAUGUUUACAGGAAGCAAGACCUUUGCUUUCUGCACGUAUCACACAGCCUCAGGUGGGUAGGGUUUGAGAAGGAGCCAGGGGGAGCAUGGGAGGCAGAGGAUUUAAUCCCUGAGGGAGAAGAGAACAGAAGGAAGGCUGCAGGGCUAAAGAUUUCCCUCCCUGUCCUACCCCGGGCUGGCCUUCGGUUAACACAGGAGAACGUGAGUAGAAGCUGACAUUUCCCCCCAGAAUCAUCCAAUGCCCGUAUCCAACAGGAUUCGGGCAACUCUCCCUUUGGGCAGAAGAGAAGCAGGUGCAAAUUAUCUGCUGAGUGAUCAAGUCACUGGAAAAAUGUUAAGUAUCUGUGCUGGUGCUGUUGUUACAAAAUUAUAUAUUGUUGUUUUCUCCUUGUUAUUACAAAACUAUAUAUUGUUACUCCCUCUGAAAGAGUGAGUGUUACCUUUACAGGACAGAAACUCUCAGAAUGCUAUGCCUGCUCCAGCACCGGGCCUCCCGUAUUUCAAACCUAGAGUGGAUUCUUUUUAACAACUCCCGUACCAUUCACACAGACCAAUUCUAGCAGCUCUCAAGGGUCUUCACCGUGGACAAACUUUCACCAAACACCCAUCACCGGCAAAUGUAUCACAAAUUUCUAUUCGGGCUUCAAACACUGCCCUUUGAAUUUCAUCAGGCAAUCUAAGACUGGCACCUUUGGUCAUUUCUGCUAACGUUUCUUCCCUAAAUUUGAUUCUUUUAUCUAUUUCCUCA